rnacentral:rRNA from 1 species
AAUGAACGUUGGCGGCGUGGAUUAGGCAUGCAAGUCGAGCGGUAAGGCCCCUUCGGGGGUACACGAGCGGCGAAAGGGAGAGUAACGCGUGGACCACCUACCCCUAGAUUUGGGAUAGCUGCGGGAAACUGCAGGUAAUACCAAAUAAUGUCUUCGGACCAAAGGUGUGAUUCCGUCUAGGGACGGGUCCGCGUCCUAUUAGCUUGUUGGUAGGGUAACGGCCUACCAAGGCUUCGAUGGUACCGGGUGUGAGAGCAUGGCCCGGCUCACUGGGACUGAGACACUGCCCAGACGCCUACGGGUGGCUGCAGUCGAGAAUCUUCGGCAAUGGGCGAAAGCCUGACCGAGCGACGCCGCGUGUGGGAUGAAUGCCUUCGGGUUGUAAACCACUGUCAGUUGGGAGGAAAUGCUAUGAGGUUAUCCUCAUAGUUUGACCUAUCUUCAGAGGAAGUACGGGCUAAGUUCGUG